GGGGUGUUAAUUUAAAUGGUAAAAUAUUAAUUUUGCAUAUUAGAAAAAGAAGUUCAAUUCUUCUACAUUCCA
rnacentral:tRNA from 1 species